rnacentral:misc_RNA from 1 species
UACGGAGGAUGCAAGCGUUAUCCGGAUUUAUUGGGUUUAAAGGGUGCGUAGGCGGGGUAGCAAGUCAGUGGUGAAAGUCUGCAGCUUAACUGUAGAAUUGCCGUUGAUACUGUUACUCUUGAAUUCAGUUGAGGCAGGCGGAAUGUGUAAUGUAGCGGUGAAUUGCAUAGAUAUUACACAGAACACCGAUUGCGUAGGCAGCUUGCUAAACUGAGAUUGACGCUGAGGCACGAAAGCGUGGGGAGCAAACAGG